rnacentral:rRNA from 1 species
AUGAAGGCCAAGGCGGGCUCCCGCGCCGGCGACUCCAGGCUCGCGGUGAAGAAGAGCAAGGCCGAGAAGGACCCCAACAAGCCCAAGCGGCCCCCGAGCGCCUUCUUCGUCUUCAUGGACACCUUCAGGAAGGAGUACAAGGAGAAGCACCCCGACGUCAAGCAGGUCUCCGUGAUUGGCAAGGCCGGUGGUGAGAAGUGGAAGUCUCUGAGUGAUGCUGAGAAGGCUCCCUAUGCUGCCAAGGCCGAGAAGCUCAAGGCCGAGUACGCCAAGAAGAUCGACGCCUACAACAACCCGCAGGUAAUCCCCAGCCCCACAUCCCCGUCCUCCAAACACCGCCGUCAGAACUGUCUCACGCAGCACAUGGUGGUACUGAACCGUGUUGUUUCGUGUUCUUCCCCGUUUCAGGCAGGAGAGGCGUCCGGCGACUCUGACAAGUCCAAGUCCGAGGUGAACGACGAGGAUGACGGCAGCGAGGUGAGACCAUCGACACCCACCCCUGACCGUUCCCUUCGUUGCUGA